rfam:Ictidomys tridecemlineatus contig005113, whole genome shotgun sequence.
GGGGAUAUAGCUUUGUUGGUAGAGUGCUUGCUUUGCAUGCACAAGAUCCUGGGUUCAAUCCCCAGCAUCACCC